GGAGUUAGCCGGUGCUUCUUCUGUGAGUGAUGUCCUUCCUGCCGGCUAUUAACCCGCAGGCCUUCUUCCUCACUGAAAGUGCUUUACAACCCGAAGGCCUUCUUCACACACGCGGCAUGGCUGGAUCAGGGUUGCCCCCAUUGUCCAAUAUUCCCCACUGCUGCCUCCCGUAGGAGUCUGGGCCGUGUCUCAGUCCCAGUGUGGCUGAUCAUCCUCUCAGACCAGCUACGGAUCGUCGCCUUGGUGAGCCGUUACCUCACCAACCAGCUAAUCCGACAUAGGCUCAUCCGAUAGCGCGAGGCCCGAAGGUCCCCCGCUUUCCCCCGUAGGGCGUAUGCGGUAUUAGCCUGGGUUUCCCCAGGGUUAUCCCCCACUACCGGGGCAGAUUCCUAUGCAUUACUCACCCGUCCGCCGCUCGCCACCAGGGAGCAAGCUCCCCGUGCUGCCGCUCGACUUGCAUGUGUUAGGCCUGCCGCCAGCGUUCAAUCUGAGCCAUGAUCAAACUCUGA
rnacentral:rRNA from 1 species